rnacentral:piRNA from 1 species
GAGAAAGCUCACAAGAACUGCUAACUCACA